GUGCUCACUUCGGCAGCACACUAAAAUUGGAAAGAUGCAGAGAAUAUUAGCAUGGCCCCUGCGCAAGGAUGACACGCAAAUUCGUGAAGCGUUCCACAUUUUA